rnacentral:lncRNA from 1 species
GUAUACCCUUAUGGUCAUGAUAUAUGCGUAUGGUCCAAAUACUCAUAUGGUCCGGAACACAUACAUGAUAUUCUGUGCGUUGUCGGUCGUCUAUUAAUUUUUUUCUUUUGUUGAUGGAUUUGACGUCUUUCUGUGAGUGAUUAUUUGUUCAUGACUUAAAACUUACUUGCAAAUAAUUUAAAACCAAGACUUGAUUUAUAAAAAUGUCCAAACAAACCAUGAUUUUUUUUUAAACAUACAUCACAUCCAUUGCAAAAGGCUAAAAUUCGCCAGGUCUUUAAUUUCAACUAAGUGAGUUGACUAAAUUAAUGUUGCGGACCAUUUUCCAAUUUCCAUGCGGUAUCCCUAUUUUUUUUUCUCGCUCAUCUUUUAUGUUUGUUUUUUUCAUGCCAAGACCUCUUGGAGCUUUCAUUCUAUAAAGUGUGUAUUUUGCUAAUGGUCGAAGGCCAUACGGGGACCUAUAGCUUGAUAACGCCUGUUGGUCCCUGGAAAGAAUGUGUCUGAUUGUCUAUCACACUACAUAUUCUUAUUUUAACAUGCAGUUAUAUCUAUGAUAAGAAUGAAAAUUGAAUUGUCAUUGAGACAAAAACCCAACCAAAGAGCAAAAAAAAAAAGAAAAAAAAAAGCCCAAGGCAACAUGUAGAUCUUUCGUAUCAAGGGAAUUGCUAUAAAUAUAUUUAUUUCAGGUUAAUAGUAUUAGGCCAUACUCAAGUUAUAAAAUAGAUCUUGUCGUCAACUUUUGCAACC